GUUAGCAGCUAUUGAAUAUGAGGCUCUUCCCUCCCCCUUAAGUAGUCCAUGUGAGAGAUGAUGAGGACCUCAACUAGAGUGGUAGGUGUGUGAAUAGAAAAGAAACAUAUACAAGAGAUGUUGUGAAAGAAGAGGAUUUGGCAGCAGACUGGAUAUGUGAGGUCUCAGGUCUUCAUUAUUCGUAGUUGCUUUAAGAGGCACCAUCUCUCUUCCCUGGACCAUCAAUACCCUGAAGCUCUGGGCUCCAUGGCCUUCCCACCCAGAUAUCUGAUUUACUGCUUUCCCUCCUAACUUCUACAACCAAGGGAUUACCUGGAGAUUUAC